rnacentral:rRNA from 1 species
GAUGAACGCUGGCGGCGUGCCUAAUACAUGCAAGUCGAGCGAACAGACGAGGAGCUUGCUCCUCUGACGUUAGCGGCGGACGGGUGAGUAACACGUGGAUAACCUACCUAUAAGACUGGGAUAACUUCGGGAAACCGGAGCUAAUACCGGAUAAUAUAUUGAACCGCAUGGUUCAAUAGUGAAAGACGGUUUUGCUGUCACUUAUAGAUGGAUCCGCGCCACAUUAGCUAGUUGGUAAGGUAACGGCUUACCAAGGCAACGAUGCGUAGCCGAACUGAGGGGGGGAUCGGCCACACUGGAACUGAGACACGGUCCAGACGCCUACGGGAGGCAGCAGUAGGGAAUCGUACGCAAUGGGCGAAAGCUUGGCGGAGCAACGCCACGUGAGUGAUGAAGGUGUUCGGAGCGUAAAACUCUGUUAUGAGGGAAGAACAAAUGUGUAAGUAACUAUGCACGUCGUGACGGUACCUAAUCAGAAAGCAACGGCUAACUACGUG